rnacentral:lncRNA from 1 species
CGAGGAUAACGAGUAGUCUCUUUCAAAUUCGCCAUCUAUCGCUCUCUUUUUCCUUCCUGAGCCCUCAUUUCGCCUUAAUCAGGCUUUUGUUCUCUUUGUUGACCAGAUCCCAGCGAUUCUAUGGCAUACCCAGGCACUGAUCCUUCCAGGUAAACCUCUCAUUGCCUUCUUAAACUCUAUGAUGCGAUUUUGUUAGCUGUUCUAUUUGUCGAUCAUGAAACAUGUUAAAAUCGGAUGCUUUGAAAAUCACUUUUGCAUUGUUGAAUGGCUCUGAUAUACACUCCUAUUUCCAAUUUGUCGAUGGCUGUAGACUGACACUUCUUUAUGAUUGUUAAUACAUCUCCUUCAACCUCAAUCUUUUUAACUCCCAUGGUUAACCCGAUUCCCACUGCUUGAAAACAUGCAUGAGCCUCCGCUGCAAACAGAGAUGGAACCUCUGUGCUGAAAAUCAAUUUUGAGGCCAGCACCUCUCCUCUGUUAUUUCUGGCCACCAACCUCAAAGUCUAUCUGAACUGAUUACGAUCAUAUGUCGCAUCAAAAUUGAUUUUAACAAAUUGGGUUUCUGGAUGGUAAGGGUUCUAUUCUCCAUUUCAUCAAUUUCUUUGAGAAAUCUGUUGGUUAUUUCAACAAUCUCUUUUCCAGUACUAAGCUUUCCUUCACGCAACUUCUUAUUUCACUCUGUCCAGAUCACCCACAAGGCGCAACAAAAUAAUUGGCACUAAGGAAUAAAGCUUCGUUUAAACACCCAGGUGAGUCAUUCCCAAUUAUCUAAAUUUGGCAUAGAGACAAUCUACAUGAGUUUUAAAGAAUACCACACUUCCAAUGACACAAGGCAAACUCGAAAUACAUGCAUAAUACUUUUUACUACCCCUCCGCACCUUGGACAAACUGUAUUUUCCCCAAGUCUUUGAAAAUGUAAAUUAUUUAGAGUAGGUAAGAAGUUCCACAGGAUUUCCAGAUUGUAAUUUUUUGUUUUACGUUUAAGUUGAGGCUCCAUAGUCGCUUGUAAAAAAAUUAUAUUCUGUUAUAAGUCUGUCGCAGUAGGAUCAAAAUUAUUUUCGAGCAGUAUUUUGUAACCACUCCUCAUUGAG